AGAGGCUGCGGCGCGUGGCCUGAGGCGGAGAGCCGGGCUGCGGGGGUCCGGGCCAGGCCAGGCGCCGGCCUGACCCGCCUCGCCGGAGCAGCCGGCGGAGCUCGGGUGGAGGAAAGCGAGGAGGCGACCAGGAGGAUGCCGCCGCCGCCGCCGCAGGGCCCGGGGCUUCUGCAGGGCGCAAGGCCUCCCUCACCAGGGUAAGGGGCUGGCGAUCAACCUGGACGCCUGGGACCUUGGGAGCAAGCAUCCCGCAGCCGAGCAGGCGACGGCGCGGCCACCGCCUAGAGAGGAGCCGGGGCCCGGGGCGGCGUGCGGGUCGGCAGCAGCCGGCUUGGCCUAUCCGAAACCCCAGGCCUGGAAGCGGCUGCUUUAGGCGUCAAGUUGAGCGGGGCAGAAGAAAGAAGCGGAGCCGAGCCGAGCCGCCGAGUCCCUCCCCCCGGAGCCCCGGAGCCCCGGCGCCUGCCUGGGCGGUCCCGGCCGCGCAGACAGAAAAGAAGCCGGGAAUCUGCGGGGCUGGGGGGCGGGGAGCGACACCAAAGGCCAGAAACUGCAGCACGGCCCGAGGCCCUGGCGAGCUGGGCCUGGGGGAGGAGAAGUCCCUUCCCAUUCCAGCUCGAUCAAUCUUGCUGGGCUGCGAUCGGUCAAUAAAAACGGUGUGAAGCGGCCGCUGUCGCUGUGAGUCUGGGGAGGAAGUGGAGGCCAAAGGUGUCGAGGCCGGCGCCAGUACCCCGCACCAGCCGGGUCCGCGGCCCCGCGGUCUGCACGUCGCAGGCCGGGGGCCAGAGCUUUGCCGGCAGCCGAGAGCGGCCCGGCGGGGCCUUUAAUUGGGUGUCUCCAUUUUAAUAGAGGCCAUUGUUGGAGCAAUUAGAGAAAGACAAUAACCGCCCAGAGACGUUUAAUUCGAUUCCCUGCGCCCGCCGCAGUACGCACCGGGGCGCUCUGGAAGAGUGGCCGAGGCUGCGCGGAAGGGAGGGUCCGCUUGGGGAGGCGCCGGCUUCUUUCCUUGCUUGCUUUGCCUUCGGUGUGGGAAUUGUAAAGGGCGACUGGGGCAAGAUGAAAGCGGGGCGAGGGCGACCUGAGCCAGGCCAGGGCCGGCCUCUCUAGCCCACGCCGGGCGCCCGCGGGACCGCCGCGCCUUUCGCGGCGCGCGUCCAGCUGUGGCCGCCGCGGAGGUCCCCAGCGCCUGUUCAAAGGAGAGAAGCCGGAGGACCGGGCCGUGAAAACUGGCCUCCUUCCUCCUUAGCCCCGGGUCCCCAUUUCUGUCACCCGAACCAUGUCCAUAUUUCCUUCCCUAUGGUGGGAGGAGGGGCAAAGGAGAGAUCCCGGGUAUUGGAGCGCGCACACCUCCGUCUCCAACCCAGCCAGCCUCACCGCCCCCUCCUCCGCCUCGGCCCCUGGAUUAGGUUACCCUGGCCGCGCAAGGGUUUCUACUGGAUAGGACUAUAGCACAGGUAAAGCUGUAUAAACAGCUCGCCGGCUGCCGGGCGGGAGGGUUAUGCCGGGGACACGGCUCCAGGCGCCGCCGCUGGCCCCGGCUGCGCGGGCCACACCGCGGGGAGCCCGCUGCGGCAGGGCGCCCCGGACCGCGCAGGUUAAAUACAUAUUAUCUCUGUCUCUGCCACUCGGGCCCCCGUUUUCUUUCCCUUGCGAGCUGAAAUGCGGAGAGCGGGGAGCAAGACCUAAACGGGAAGAAAAGGCAGUCGGGCAGUGGGCAAUACUGGUUGAGGAUCCCGGCCCAGCAAGGCUGGCUCUCUUCAAACAAAACCCAGAGAGCAGGGAACUUGGGGGAAAGCAGAGAAAGAGGGACCCUAAAACUCACUGGCAAUGGGAAGAUGAUGGAGGCGGGUGCGUCCAAGGGGCAACUCUCCUCGCGGCUCCCACGCCCACGCGCCCCGGGCCAGGAGUCUACCUUCCCCGUGAAAUGAGCUAUCGUUUUGGGGAUGGUAUGUGAUUUGAUUUACCCUUUUUUCUUUUCCUUCCUUUAGUUCUUUUUUCUUUUUCUUUUUUCUUUUUUUUUCUGUUUGUUUGUUUGUUUUGCUUAUUCAUCGAUCACCGUUUAAAACUCGGAAGGAAACCCGCCCAGGCCAGGAGAGCCGCGAGCCGUGGGGAGAGUCAAAAAAGAGGAGAUGCGCUGGGAGAUUCCCCCCGCCCCCGCACUCCGCCCCCAGCCCGGCCCCGGCCUCCACUUCGAGGGAUCCUGACCCUCCCACCGCCACUACCACCUUUUCCCCGGUUGAGAAAACCCCUGAUUGUAGCGAGAUAAAAAUUGGGUAGGUAGGGGUGCAGCGGAAAGGGGGAGACAGGAAGGGAGAGGGCAGGGGAUUUCUGCUUUCGGGUUUAACAACUCACACGUGAGGCGAGUGGCAGUUGGGGGGAGCCCCGGGUUGGGUGGGAGAGAAGGAACUCGCCUUGAGGGUGAGUGGAAAGGAAUUGGAGUCACCCUGGAGGAAAAGUGCCCUUUUCAGCUCUCUCCCUCCCUCCUGGCCUUGGCAGGUGGGGGGACAGGUGGGUGCCACGGGAGGAAAAGAAGGGGUGGAGGCAGCCCAGCCGGCGUCCCUGGGUCUCCCGGGCUUUGGACAUCUUACCCUGCCCCCAGUGGCAUCAGUGACUCCUAGCCAGGGGCUUGCUACUUCUAGACCCGACCUCUCCUCCGUCCCAGGGGGCCGCUCAGCCACACCGCUAUAGCACCCAGGACUCCGGCCCCUGCACCAAGGAAAGGCUCCAGCCUGGCAGAAAUUCACCCAUUUCAAGGCUUGGCCCACCAGGCCUUAGCAUUGCCGGGUGAGGUGGGGUGCACGCGGUGUUCAGUCUGGCCAGUCGGAGUCACCUGCUCCACUCCCCCGGCCUGGUCACCCACAUCCUCACAGCCACCCAGCUCCUGAGCCCCCUGGCCAACCACAGCCCCAACCCCCAGCGCUGGCCUCAGCCGAGUCUCCUCCGUCUGCUUCAGUUUGGCCUUUUAGGAGGAGAAGGAGGGCUUUAUCUGGGGACUAUUGUGUUUUGACUCAUCUAGAUUAGCCUAGGAGCUGGAGUGUGAUUGUAGCGGGACACUCUGGCAGGGGAUGUGUUCACAGCACGGAUAGGAAAAGAGGGGGAGGGGGACUCCAUUCAGAUCUUGGAGACAGUAGAGGCGCGCUUUUAAAAGCACAAACCGUUCUUGUCUUCCUUUGGACAUGCUAGAGACCACCUGGUGAAAAAAAAAAUCCAUGUUUGUGCCCGACUCAGAGGUGCAAAGGAGGAGGUUUGGCAUGCGCACCCUUCUCCCGGCCUCCCUUGGUCCCGGACUGCCCCCUACCCGCAGCCCCUCCCUCCGGGCAGCUCAGCUCUAGGCUGCCUUCCACCUCGCGGACCCUAAGCAAUUUGUUAUAUAAAACAAAACAGCAACCAGACGCAUGUGCCUGUUCUUCACUAACGCCAGCAGACCGGCAGCGACGGAUACCCGGUGGACCUCAGCCGGGACGCCUCGGGCAGCAGCUUCUUGCCCGCUGCCGCACCCACCUCUGCACCCCAGCUCGGGUCAGCCCAGCAGCCAAAGCAAAAGGGGGAUUCCUCAGUUUGCUCCCUUGGAGGCUACAAAGCCUCUCUCUGGUUAUUCCAACCGUUAAGUAAAAAAGAGGUGAUGGGAAAGAUUUGGUCUGCACACAAAGAUAUACCAGGAGAAGAAUGCACAUUUAUGUGUAAAAUGGCUUAGGCACCAAGAAUGAGACAUCACUUCAGUGCAGCCUAGAAAUAGUUAAAAAUAACCGAAUGCUAGAGGACAGAGGUGGUUUUGGGAUCUGCCCCACACUCCUUAUCAGGAUCCCUAAUUCCCUGCCACCUCCUAUGGUUCC
rnacentral:lncRNA from 1 species